AGAGUUUGAUCCUGGCUCAGGACGAACGCUGGCGGCGUGCCUAAUACAUGCAAGUAGAACGCUGAAGAGAGGAGCUUGCUCUUCUUGGAUGAGUUGCGAACGGGUGAGUAACGCGUAGGUAACCUGCCUGGUAGCGGGGGAUAACUAUUGGAAACGAUAGCUAAUACCGCAUAAGAGUAGAUGUUGCAUGACAUUUGCUUAAAAGGUGCAAUUGCAUCACUACCAGAUGGACCUGCGUUGUAUUAGCUAGUUGGUGGGGUAACGGCUCACCAAGGCGACGAUACAUAGCCGACCUGAGAGGGUGAUCGGCCACACUGGGACUGAGACACGGCCCAGACUCCUACGGGAGGCAGCAGUAGGGAAUCUUCGGCAAUGGGGGCAACCCUGACCGAGCAACGCCGCGUGAGUGAAGAAGGUUUUCGGAUCGUAAAGCUCUGUUGUAAGAGAAGAACGAGUGUGAGAGUGGAAAGUUCACACUGUGACGGUAUCUUACCAGAAAGGGACGGCUAACUACGUGCCAGCAGCCGCGGUAAUACGUAGGUCCCGAGCGUUGUCCGGAUUUAUUGGGCGUAAAGCGAGCGCAGGCGGUUAGAUAAGUCUGAAGUUAAAGGCUGUGGCUUAACCAUAGUACGCUUUGGAAACUGUUUAACUUGAGUGCAAGAGGGGAGAGUGGAAUUCCAUGUGUAGCGGUGAAAUGCGUAGAUAUAUGGAGGAACACCGGUGGCGAAAGCGGCUCUCUGGCUUGUAACUGACGCUGAGGCUCGAAAGCGUGGGGAGCAAACAGGAUUAGAUACCCUGGUAGUCCACGCCGUAAACGAUGAGUGCUAGGUGUUGGACCCUUUCCGGGGUUUAGUGCCGCAGCUAACGCAUUAAGCACUCCGCCUGGGGAGUACGACCGCAAGGUUGAAAC
rnacentral:rRNA from 1 species